AAUGCUAUUGCUGGAUCAUAUGAUAAGCGUAUAUUUAGUUUUUAAAGAAACUGCCAAACUGUCUUCCAAAGUGGCUGUACCAUUUGCAUUCCCCCUAGCAAU
rnacentral:pre_miRNA from 1 species